CUGCAACUCAAGAUCAGAAGGGGAAAAGGAUAUAUACUGAUGUUCUUUUUGUCUUAUUUUACUGACUAUGUUGCCAAGUUUUUUUUACUUAAUUCUUACCUGUUGAGUCAGUAUAUAACAUUUUUUUUACGAGCAAUUGAGUCGGUAACAUUAAUUGAGCAAUAUUCAAGGUUGAGAAAAGAGUCUGAGUAACUAAGUGAAUGCAAGGCAUA
rnacentral:lncRNA from 1 species